AGAGUUUGAUCCUGGCUCAGAACGAACGCUGGCGGCGUGGAUAAGACAUGCAAGUCGGACGAGAUUUCGUCCUGUAGCAAUACGGGAAGAAGUCUAGUGGCGAACGGGUGCUUAACACGUGGGCAAUUUGUCUUAAAGUGGGGGAUAGCUCGGCGAAAGCCGAAUUAAUACCGCAUGUGAUUAGAGUGGACAUCCAUUCAAAAUUAAAGUCGGGGCAACCUGACGCUUUUUGAGAAGCCCGCGGCCUAUCAGCUAGUUGGUGAGGUAACGGCUCACCAAGGCUUUGACGGGUAGCUGGUCUGAGAGGACGACCAGCCACACUGGGACUGAGACACAGCCCAGACACCUACGGGUGGCAGCAGUCGAGAAUUUUUCUCAAUGGGGGAAACCCUGAAGGAGCGACGCCGCGUGGAGGAUGAAGGUCUUCGGAUUGUAAACUCCUGUCAUUGGGGAACAAUGCGUGACGGUUAACUGCCGUCGCGUUGAUAGUACCCGAAGAGGAAGAGACGGCUAACUCUGUGCCAGCAGCCGCGGUAAUACAGAGGUCUCAAGCGUUGUUCGGAUUCAUUGGGCGUAAAGGGUGCGUAGGCGGCGCGGUAAGUCGGGUGUGAAAUCUCGGAGCUUAACUCCGAAACUGCAUUCGAUACUGCCGUGCUCGAGGACUGGAGAGGAGACUGGAAUUUACGGUGUAGCGGUGAAAUGCGUAGAUAUCGUAAGGAAGACCAGUGGCGAAGGCGGGUCUCUGGACAGUUCCUGACGCUGAGGCACGAAGGUCAGGGGAGCAAACGGGAUUAGAUACCCCAGUAGUCC
rnacentral:rRNA from 1 species